GCAAGUCGAGCGGUAACAGGAAGUAGCUUGCUACUUUGCUGACGAGCGGCGGACGGGUGAGUAAUGCUUGGGAACAUGCCUUGGGGUGGGGGACCACAGUUGGAAACGACUGCUAAUACCGCAUAAUGUCUACGGACCAAAGGGGGCUUCGGCUCUCGCCAUUUGAUUAGCCCGAGUGAGAUUAGCUAGUUGGUGAGGUAAUGGCUUACCAAGGCGACGAUCUCUAGCUGGUUUGAGAGGAUGAUC
rnacentral:rRNA from 1 species